UACGUAGGGACCAAGCGUUGUUCGGAUUUACUGGGCGUAAAGGGCGCGUAGGCGGUCAGCACAAGUCAGUUGUGAAAUCUCCGGGCUUAACCCGGAAAGGUCAACUGAUACUGUGCGACUAGAGUGCGGAAGGGGCAACUGGAAUUCUCGGUGUAGCGGUGAAAUGCGUAGAUAUCGAGAGGAACACCUGCGGCGAAGGCGGGUUGCUGGGCUGAUACUGACGCUGAGGCGCGAAAGCCAGGGGAGCGAACGGG
rnacentral:rRNA from 1 species